rnacentral:rRNA from 1 species
GACGAACGCUGGCGGCGUGCUUCAUACAUGCAAGUCGAACGAGAAAUUCACUUCGGUGGAUGGAAAGUGGCGGAUAGGCUCGCGUGACAUUAGCUAGAUGGCGGGGUAACGGCCCACCAAGGCGACGAUCAGUAGCCGGACUGAGAGGUUGACCGGCCACAUUGGGACUGAGAUACGGCCCAGACUCCUACGGGAGGCAGCAGUGGGGAAUAUUGGGCAAUGGGCGCAAGCCUGACCCAGCAACGCCGCGUGAAGGAAGAAGGCUUUCGGGUUGUAAACUUCUUUUGUCGAGGAAGAGUAGAAGACUGUACUCGGCGAAUAAGCCACGGCUAACUACGUG